rnacentral:tRNA from 1 species
GGAGGGAUGGCAGAGCGGUUGAAUGCACCGGUCUUGAAAACCGGCAAAGGUUAAUAGCCUUUCUAGGGUUCAAAUCCCUAUCCCUCCGCCA